UGAAGCGACCGGGUCGGGCGUUGAUUCGUCUGCACUGGAGUCGGUUUUGGCCAUCCUCUAGGAUAGUGCGUCUGGUAUUAAGUUGUCGGGCGUAUGAUCCUGGUCUUUUACUGCGAAAAAAUUAGAGUGUUUAAAGUAGGUCUUUCUCUUGUAUACAUUAGCAUGGAAUAAUAAGAUAGGACUUUUGGUCUAUUUUGCUGGUUUGCAGACCGAAGUAAUGAUUAAUAGGGAUAGAUGGGGGUAUUUAUAUUCCGAU
rnacentral:rRNA from 1 species